rnacentral:rRNA from 1 species
GACGAACGCUGGCGGCGUGCCUAACACAUGCAAGUCGAGCGGGAACCUCGGGAGGGGUAACCCUUCCGUGGGGAGAGCGGCGAACGGGUGAGUAACACGUGGGCAACCUGCCCCGGACACCGGGAUAACCCAGGGAAACCUGAGCUAAUACCGGAUACUCCGGCGUGAUCGCAUGGUCGCGCCGGGAAAGCCCCGACGGUCCGGGAUGGGCCCGCGGCCUAUCAGCUUGUGGGUGGGGUAACGGCCCACCAAGGCGACGACGGGUAGCCGGUCUGAGAGGGCGGCCAGCCACACUGGGACUGAGACACGGCCCAGACUCCUACGGGAGGCAGCAGUGGGGGAUCUUGCGUUAAUGCGCGAAAGCGUGACGCAGCGACGCCGCGUGGGGGAUGAAGGCCCUCGGGUUGUAAACCCCUUUCGGCAGGGACGAAGCGAAAGUGACGGUACCUGCAGAAGAAGUCCCGGCUAACUACGUGCCAGCCGCCGCAGUAAUAC